rnacentral:rRNA from 1 species
GUGGGUAGUUUGACUGGGGCGGUCUCCUCCCAAAGCGUAACGGAGGAGCACGAAGGUUAGCUAAUCCUGGUCGGACAUCAGGAGGUUAGUGCAAUGGCAUAAGCUAGCUUGACUGCGAGCGUGACGGCGCGAGCAGGUGCGAAAGCAGGUCAUAGUGAUCCGGUGGUUCUGAAUGGAAGGGCCAUCGCUCAACGGAUAAAAGGUACUCCGGGGAUAACAGGCUGAUACCGCCCAAGAGUUCAUAUCGACGGCGGUGUUUGGCACCUCGAUGUCGGCUCAUCACAUCCUGGGGCUGAAGUAGGUCCCAAGGGUAUGGCUGUUCGCCAUUUAAAGUGGUACGCGAGCUGGGUUUAGAACGUCGUGAGACAGUUCGGUCCCUAUCUGCCGUGGGCGCUGGAGAAUUGAGGGGGGCUGCUCCUAGUACGAGAGGACCGGAGUGGACGCAUCACUGGUGUUCGGGUUGUCAUGCCAAUGGCACUGCCCGGUAGCUAAAUGCGGAAGAGAUAAGUGCUGAAAGCAUCUAAGCACGAAACUUGCCCCGAGAUGA